UACAAGUUAUUUAAAACUAAGCUUUAUUCAACAUAAAAACUAAUGUGAUUAUAACAUCUACUACUUUUCAGUUGGAGGAGUGGGGUGAGGGGACUAACGAUCCCAGACUGGAAGCGGAAAUCCUCCUUGUUCCUCUUUUAUACUUGCCAAGUGUCUGCUCUCACAAACAAACAAGAGACCCUAUUUGUUCGAAGCGUGCAGAGGCAUGAGCUCAGAACAAAGCUGAUCCAGCGAUGAUAUUUCAGAAAAUGAUCCCAGGACCAAAAUGCAGCUCGUCGGAGUCCUGACCCAUAUAUUUUCGGAGUCCAAGUUGGGGGAGAACAACUGACCUAAGCUCUCUGGGGAAAAGCACACCUAAGCAUCUUUGGCACCUGAAGAUGAUAAAACUUGUAACCAAGAUAUUACAGGGUCAAAUAUGGUCUGAGGUUUAGUGUGUCAGUAACUGUUUUGGCAAAAGGAGCCAAAAGUACAUGUGAGGUUUACAGAUACUUUCAGGCUGAACGGUCGUGUUCAGCUGAUUAAAAUUACGAAUUUAAAUAGUAAAAUGUCUCUGUGAUUUAGUUAGAGAAUCACUCCUAGCUCGUUCAUGUUGGGGGCAGCUUGCCAUUUUCCAUGUGAUCUGCAAGUUGCCUCAAAAGUAUAACUAUUUUGUGAAUAGGACAGGAGGAGAAAAUCUCCCAAUUGGCACAUUCUCAAUUAGGGUCAAGGAACAAAGCCAGCUUAACCAGAGAGGAAAUAAAAGGCAAACAAUAGGAGUCUGCCUGCACUGUCACCACUUAUAGAGAGAGGUGCCUCUCUGGACCUGCCUGGUAAGUCGCUCUCAGGUUAAGGAAGGGUCACAGUGACAAAAGUUCGGACCAUCUAAUUGUAUUACCCCAAAGUAACCUUCCUAUAUAUAGUAAAAACAGUCUGAAGAUGUUUUAUUAAGAACAUGCCUGGAUUCAAAAG